rnacentral:lncRNA from 1 species
UAGUAAAAGUAAGUAGAUAAGGCUAAUAGAUAAAGUCUAAUGAGACAGGUUAGUAAGGUAGUUAAUAGAUCCAAUGGUGUGUUCCACCCAAAAGGGACAAUCUAAACGGCUGUUUCUAGCUAGGUUGCGUGAUCCUACGGUCAACACGGCUUUGGUACCACUUCUGUCACACCCGGAUGUAAAAGAGCAUUCGGGUGCCAAAUCACAUGCGCGCC